rnacentral:rRNA from 1 species
UACGUAGGGCGCAAGCGUUGUCCGGAAUUAUUGGGCGUAAAGAGCUCGUAGGCGGUCUGUCGCGUCUGUUGUGAAAACUCGAGGCUCAACCUCAGGCUUGCAGUGGAUACGGGCAGACUAGAGUGCGGUAGGGGAGACUGGAAUUCCUGGUGUAGCGGUGGAAUGCGCAGAUAUCAGGAGGAACACCGAUGGCGAAGGCAGGUCUCUGGGCAGUAACUGACGCUGAGGAGCGAAAGCGUGGGGAGCGAACAGG